rnacentral:rRNA from 1 species
ACAUGCAAGUCGAACNGGCAGCACGGGUGCUUGCACCUGGUGGCGAGUGGCGAACGAGUGAGUAAUACAUCGGAACAUGUCCUGUAGUGGGGGAUAGCCCGGCGAAAGCCGGAUUAAUACCGCAUACGAUCUACGGAUGAAAGCGGGGGACCUUCGGGCCUCGCGCUAUAGGGUUGGCCGAUGGCUGAUUAGCUAGUUGGUGGGGUAAAGGCCUACCAAGGCGACGAUCAGUAGCUGGUCUGAGAGGACGACCAGCCACACUGGGACUGAGACACGGCCCAGACUCCUACGGGAGGCAGCAGUGGGGAAUUUUGGACAAUGGGCGAAAGCCUGAUCCAGCAAUGCCGCGUGUGUGAAGAAGGCCUUCGGGUUGUAAAGCACUUUUGUCCGGAAAGAAAUCCUUGGUUCUAAUAUAGCCGGGGGAUGACGGUACCGGAAGAAUAAGCACCGGCUAACUACGUGCCAGCAGCCGCGGUAAUACGUAGGGUGCGAGCGUUAAUCGGAAUUACUGGGCGUAAAGCGUGCGCAGGCGGUUUGCUAAGACCGAUGUGAAAUCCCCGGGCUCAACCUGGGAACUGCAUUGGUGACUGGCAGGCUAGAGUAUGGCAGAGGGGGGUAGAAUUCCACG